CCGAAACCCUCUUUGAAAUCCCUAAUCGAGUGACCUUCUGUGUUCGUCUGCAUUGUCAGCAAGGAUUGUUGUUCUUCGGAUUGCAGGAGAAGGUGGUGAAUCCAUGGUUUGAGAAGCGCCCGAAGCAGUUUGGGAUUGCACAGGUAUGGCAAACUCUAUUGAAGACUCAGUCCCGGGCCAUGCUAUGAGGCCAAAUACAUUUAUGUCGACACCACAGAUUGAUGCUCAAGAGCACCAAGAAGCUCUUAUGCAGCCAGAGCAGGUAGAAAUUGUACAAGAAUACGCUGAUGCUCGUGUUGAUAGAAAUCGUAAAAAAGGCGGAAGAACCUAGAGCGUGCUAAUUAGAGGGCCAAAUGGAGAAGUGAACCGAGAAUGCAUGCGAACAGAAGACAAUAAGAAGCUUCCUCGACAUAAGAGGAUUGUUGUGGAAUAGAAUCAUCGGGACCAGCCAAUUGAUGAGUCUGGGGGGAUUCUUGGUCGAUUUUUAGGUCUUAUUAUAAGAAAAUAUCGCGUGCUUCCUAUCGGAUAGGAAAAGUGGAGUACGAUUCCACAACAUUAUAAAGCUUCUGUGUGGAAUUGCAUUAUAGAGAAAUUUGAGGUCAAUGAUGCUUGACACAAGAAUUAUAUUUUCAAGAGUUUAGGAAAGAAAUGGAGGGACUAUCGAUACGACCUAAACAAGAGGGUUGAUUCAUAUGAUAGGGUUGAUUGGGGCGAUCAAUUUGACCAAUACUUUAGGGAUGAUUAGGAUGAUAGGGAUGAUUUGUGAUUGGAAUGAUUUGCAUGAUUGGGAUGAUUUUUUUGCGUACAGAGCUUGCUCUGACACAGAGACGCAAGCGACUCAAAAUACUAAGAAUCGCAGAAAUCUAACAAUGCAUCAUAUAUUAGGGUCAAAGUCAUUUGCUAGAUUGGAGAAUGAGCUGGUUAUUACUUUCAUUUCAUGAGCAACCUUAAUUAUGUGUGUUUAGUUGUACACAAUAUUGUUUGUAUAUUAAACUGAUAUAAUUUUGUAGAAAGUUAGAGGUGAUGAGCCUGUUACCAGAGUUGCGUUGUUUAAAGCUGGCUACACAAAAAAACAUGAUGGGUCUUCUGUAAACGAGAAGG